rnacentral:rRNA from 1 species
UACGUAGGGGGCAAGCGUUGUUCGGAAUUACUGGGCGUAAAGGGCGCGUAGGCGGCCUUCUAAGUCGAACGUGAAAUCCCCGGGCUCAACCCAGGAACUGCGUCCGAUACUGGAAGGCUUGAAUCCGGGAGAGGGAUGCGGAAUUCCAGGUGUAGCGGUGAAAUGCGUAGAUAUCUGGAGGAACACCGGUGGCGAAGGCGGCAUCCUGGACCGGCAUUGACGCUGAGGCGCGAAAGCCAGGGGAGCAAACGGG